rnacentral:rRNA from 1 species
GCAGUCGAACGCUUCUUUUUCCACCGGAGCUUGCUCCACCGGAAAAAGAAGAGUGGCGAACGGGUGAGUAACACGUGGGUAACCUGCCCAUCAGAAGGGGAUAACACUUGGAAACAGGUGCUAAUACCGUAUAACAAUCAAAACCGCAUGGUUUUGAUUUGAAAGGCGCUUUCGGGUGUCGCUGAUGGAUGGACCCGCGGUGCAUUAGCUAGUUGGUGAGGUAACGGCUCACCAAGGCCACGAUGCAUAGCCGACCUGAGAGGGUGAUCGGCCACAUUGGGACUGAGACACGGCCCAAACUCCUACGGGAGGCAGCAGUAGGGAAUCUUCGGCAAUGGACGAAAGUCUGACCGAGCAACGCCGCGUGAGUGAAGAAGGUUUUCGGAUCGUAAAACUCUGUUGUUAGAGAAGAACAAGGAUGAGAGUAACUGUUCAUCCCUUGACGGUAUCUAACCAGAAAGCCACGGCUAACUACGUGCCAGCAGCCGCGGUAAUACGUAGGUGGCAAGCGUUGUCCGGAUUUAUUGGGCGUAAAGCGAGCGCAGGCGGUUUCUUAAGUCUGAUGUGAAAGCCCCCGGCUCAACCGGGGAGGGUCAUUGGAAACUGGGAGACUUGAGUGCAGAAGAGGAGAGUGGAAUUCCAUGUGUAGCGGUGAAAUGCGUAGAUAUAUGGAGGAACACCAGUGGCGAAGGCGGCUCUCUGGUCUGUAACUGACGCUGAGGCUCGAAAGCGUGGGGAGCAAACAGGAUUAGAUACCCUGGUAGUCCACGCCGUAAACGAUGAGUGCUAAGUGUUGGAGGGUUUCCGCCCUUCAGUGCUGCAGCUAACGCAUUAAGCACUCCGCCUGGGGAGUACGACCGCAAGGUUGAAACUCAAAGGAAUUGACGGGGGCCCGCACAAGCGGUGGAGCAUGUGGUUUAAUUCGAAGCAACGCGAAGAACCUUACCAGGUCUUGACAUCCUUUGACCACUCUAGAGAU